GCCUCUAGGACAACGGGUGCCGGCGGCCAGGCGUUAGCGCGCGUCGGUCACGUGUCGGCGGCCGUAAGCGUUUGAGACGUCCGCUCGCGGGUCGCGGCUGGUGGUGGGCGCGGCUGGGAGUCGCGAGGCGCCAGGGAGAGCGUGGUCAGUCAGGGAGUGUGGCCGGGGCUCGUGGUGUCCGUGUAUGGUGCUGGAGGGCUGAGGAGAGAUAGGCCGUGACUCCCAGAGACGUGAGUGAAUUCGGGUAGCGUCACGGCGGGACCUCGGCGCCGGGGGUCCGCGACGCGCCGGCUGCGGAUGCUCGGAAGGCCUGGGAUUGCGGAGCCGGGAGGGACGGCCGCGGGCGUGGAUGAGAAAACCGGACCCGUCCGCCGUUCCACGGCCACCUUGUAUUUGUUUUCCGUGGAAUGGACUGCCGUGGGGCUCAGCGAGAGAUGGCCCUGCCCGUCUCCUUUGUUGCUGGUGUGGCCUUGUGCCCAAAUACAGGGAUGCACGCGGAGACGAUGGUGCAACUUCUAGGUCAUCUCCCACAUAGACAACGAGCCCCAGCCCGGAAUGCAGCUCUUUUCCCUCCUCGCAAGCUGGAACGUGAAUGUGCUCACCACCCAGCUUUGACCUCGGGAGGAAGACGGUGCCCGCAGCUAGCACGGCAACAAGCUGGAAAGGGCCUGGCUCACCAUCUGGACCUUGGGCCUGUUAUGUGUGGCUGGUGGCAGAUGAGCAGAACAUCACGCCUGUUUGCUGGCUGGGUAUGUGAUCGCUGGGGCCCCCGCCUCACCAUGGAAGCUUUGGGAAGACAGUCUCUGAGUGUUCACUGGUCUCCAGACCGACGAUCCUGAGGGUGGUGACAGUGCCAACAGUGAUGCCAGUGACGAUGACGAUAUGAUGACAGCCAACACCCACUCUGUGAGGCCCUAGGACCACCACGUUCUAAAUCCUUUAUCUGCGUUAGUCGACGUAAUGCAACAGUGCACCAAGCCACUUGAUGUCUUUCCUGUUACUUGGAUCAGGAAACUGCGGCAGGACAGGCUAAGUGACCUGCCCCAGCCGCACGGCUGGUCGGACGCAGAGUGAAGAUCUGGACCCAGGCCACAGGCCUUAGGAGUCCGGCCCAGAACCCAGUAGACAGGCUGCCUCUCCGAGGUCACAGCUACUGGUUUGGCCCCCGUAUCCCUGCUGGAAUUAUUAGCUGGCUGGCUCCGCUAACGUGCAUUCUUCACUUCUCAAAGCCAAGCCACCUUAGUCUUUGUAUUCCCAAAGUGUACACAGUAAGUGCUCACUUAGCAUCGAUCAGCUGGCAAAGACCCUGACGGGCAGAUGGUGAAAUGCUUUCAUUUCACAGUAACAGGCUCUUGUCUGGCUCUCACAUUCUAAGGGGGAACAUUGUGGCCCCCUCCCAGGUCCCAGGGGUGUCAGAAAUCCAGGGAUGCCUGGUUGGGGGCACAGAGAGGAGGCACACCCCCAGGGGAGGAGGGACAAGAAGGGUCGUCCCUGGGAGGAGAGCUCUGGGGGUGGGGCAAAGGCGAGACCAGGUCUCCCAGGGCCCAGUGUGGGAGCUGCAGGGCUGGCAGGACCUCUGCGGAGUCCGGUCCCGGCCAGCUGACUGGGGCUGUUAGCCUGACUUGUCCUCAGGUGACAGCAGCCUGGAGGGCAAGAGAGACCCUGGGAACAGGAGGGCAGGGAGGCCGGCCCGAGGAGCCUGCCAGGCCAGCCGUCCGGUGUUUGGAAGGAAUGUGUCGCACCGAAUGGGAAACGGGAGUGCUCUGGAGCUCCUGUCUUCGGGCAGGACACAGGCGGCUGUUCUGGCUCCCACGGGGACUUCAGGAGGGGGAGGUGGGACCCUGGCCUGCGCACUCCGAUUGGCUGCGGGCAGCCAAGCCACAGGCCCCGCGCGAAGUAGGUGCUGAGGCUUGUUGAAUGAACGAACGCAGGAAUGAAUGGACCUUCAGAGCAGUUAUGGAAGGACAGAGCCCAAGUCACGUGCUUCUGCACGAAGCAAUUCCACGCUGUCACCCUAAGUGUGAGGACAGCUUCCUAGGAAGGAAAGUAGGCCUAGGCAUUGGCUCACGUGACUUGGCCAAUUGCCUGCAGCGGACCAGAGGGUCUGCAAGGGUCUUUCUCAAAGGGUGACCUAUGGGCUGACCGCAUCUGUGUUGAGAAGGGCCCAGAAACCUGCAUUAGCAAACUCCGUAGGUGAUCCUCGUGCGGAAGAUGGGGCCCGUGACUAUUAAGAAGGGAAAAAACAAAAACGGAGAAUAAAAUGUUCCCGUGAACUCAGAACAAAACAACAGCUUCGGUCUAAGAGGGCUCUGAAUAGUUGUCUGGGUAACGCUAUCCCCUCUUUUUUAUUAUGAUAAAAUAUAUAUGGCAUCAAAUUUACCAUUUUGACCAUUUUUAAGUGCACACUGCAGUGGCAUUAAGUACAUUCACAUUGUUGUACAACCAUCACCCCUAUCCGUUUCUGGAACUUUUUCAUGUUUCCAAAAUGCCCCCUAAGGGGGCCGUAUACAGGAAGAAACACAAAACAAAUGUGCACCUUAAUAAACGCUUAAAAACAAAUAACACCCAAAUAGAACUCUGCAACUAUUCCAGAAGCCCCGCCGUGAGCCUGUCACAAUCCCAGCCCCCGCCCUUCCCCCCGCAAGGGUUGGGGUUCAGUUAGCCUGACUUUUACAAUAAUCACUUCCUCGUGUUUCUUGAUAGCACUCAAGUAUGUAUCCCUGGACACUACAGUUAACUUUUGUGUAGUUAAAAUUUUUAAUAUGUGUUUCAAUUCUUUUCAUCUAUGUUUCAUCUCCAUGCUUUUUAAAAGUAUUUUUUCCCUUAACAGCGUAUCUGCUGGGGAUGGGGGCUGUUUGACCUGUAGCAUCUCCUGCUGUCUGGAUCCUUCUAAUUGCAUCCUCAUGGUGCAGUUUAGCUUGCUCCUCUGUCUGCUGUGUUUCCUGCACGCUGGCACUGGAAGCCUGUGUUGCCUUCCUUUGGCAGGACUCUUUUUUUUUUUUUUAGUUUUUUUGGCUGUGCCACGUGGCCUGUGGGAGCUUAGUUCCCCGACCAGGGAUCGAACCCAUACCCCCCUGCAAUGCAAGCACAAAGUCUUAACCCCUGGACCGCCAGGGAAGUCCCUGGCAGGACUCUUAAUGCUGGUGCCUUUUUUUUUUUUUUUUUUCUUUUAAUCAGAGGGGAUCAUAAUGUCUGGUUGCCUCCCUCUUGGUGAUGUCGGCAGUUGUUCAUGCUGAGGUCCACCAGUACAUGGGGUGCUGCAAAACGGUGAUAUCCUCUCCCUGCUUUCUCUUAUUGGUUGGAAUAUUUCUAUGAAGAGAUGCUUCCUCACCUCCUAGUUGGCCACCUGGUGAUACGGCUCACGUGGGAGGUCCUGGCUCUGCAGCGGUUCUCCUUAACCUCUUCUAGGUUGCACGUGCAUCUCUUCUUCCCCACAAGAAUCCGGGUCCUCAAGGACACGGGAAUGACAAAACUAGAACUUCCUACUCCAGUUCUCAUUUGCCAAGGUCUAACUUGUCAAGGUCAGUGGCCUGCACGUUGCUGGAUGGUCAAUGGUCAGUUCUCAGUCCUAAUCACCUUGACCCGUCAGCAGCAUUUGACUCGGCUGACCGCGCUCAAAGCGAGCACUCUCUCCUCCUGCAAAGGCUUUCUUCUCGCUGUCUAGGACACGCCGUUCUCCUUCUCAGGCCCCUCUGUGCAGCCCCCCCAUCUCUCCCACCUCUGCACGCAGGGGGCUCCUUCCCGUGCAUCUGCAUGCACUCCCUGUGUCACAUCAUGGCUUCUGGUCCCCAGACACCCCACUCGUGUCUCCUCCGCCUCUCCCCGAGGACAUCGCACAGCCAUCUCAGGCCGAGUAUGUCCCAGAGCGUCAUUCGGUUGCUUCUCUCCCCAAACCCGCACCUCUUUCCUGUCUCACUAAGUGGACAGCCCCUCCCCCUCCAGGCACUCGGGACAGAAGCCAAACACUUUGGAGUCACCCUUCACUCCUCUCCUCCUCUUACCCGUGUCCACGCCACCGGGAAAUCCCAUGGCUCCUGACCCACACUCGGACCACCCUUCGUCGGCUCUCUCUACCAGGCCUCCCUGGUCAAGCUUCCAUUGCCUCUGGCCUGGAUUUCUGCAGCGGCCUCACCCCGGCCUUCCUCUCCACCUGUGUCACCCGCUAGUCUCUUCUCCCACGGGAGCCCGCAUGAUCCUGUUCACACCCUGCUCUGCCCAAACUCCCGCGCCCCGUGGCUCCCAUGCUCAUUUGUGGGGAAAACCACAGGCCUCACGAGGGCCCAAGGCCCUGCAGGAUCUGGCCCCGGCCACCUCUCUGCCCCUCUGGCCACUCCUCCCCCAUCCCCACCCCAGCACCCAGAGCAGGGUCCCCUCCAGGGCCCGUGCGCUUGAGUCCGUUUGCCUAGAUGCAGCCCACUGUCUUCAAGAUCCUUUGUCAAAUGUCCUCAUGUCAGAAAACCCUUCCCUUCCUUCUCCUUCAACCACCAGCCCUGGCCUGGCCCCUGCGUCGGCCCUGCUCUUUUCUCCAGCAGAAUCACCAUCUGUCUUGAGGUAUUUACUUGCUUAUCUGGUUGUUGUCAUUAGACUGUAGGCUCCAGCAUGGUGGGGAGUUUCAUCCCCUUGGUUUUGAUACCGGGUUUGCAGUGCCUGGAAUGAUUCUUGGCAUGUGGCGGUGUCAGUAUUUGCUGGUGGUUGAAUGAAUGAGUGAGUGAGGAGCGAAUGCCUUCCCUGUUCUGGGCCGCGCUGCUCAAUUCAGUCUCACCCAGCACUUGGAGCCUGACACCUAACUCUCUCUCUUUCUCUCUCUCUCUCUCCUCUAUUGUGCUAAAACAUACGUAACAUAAAAUUCCCCAUUUUAACCUUUUUCUGAGUGCACAGCUCAGGGGUGUUAAGUCCGUUCUCGUUGUGCAGCCAUGACCACCAUCCAUCUGCAGAACUUUUUCACCUUCCCAAACUGAAACUCGAUGUUCACUAAACAAUAACUCCCCGUAAUUUCCCGCUCCCUCAGCCCCUGGUAACUACCAUUCUAUUGUUUACGUUCCGUCCCCAUGAAUAUGACUGCCCUAGGUGCCUCGUACAGUGGGAUCACACAGUAUUUGUCCUUUCAUCUCUGGAUUAUUUCACUGAGCAUACUGUCUUUGAGGUUCAGCCAUGAUGUAGCCUACUGCAGAAUCUCCUUCCUUUUUAAGGCUGAAUAAUAUUCCGUCUUAUGUACAGACCACAUUUUGUUUACCCACUCAUGUGUCGAUGGACACCCGGGUUGUUUCCACCUUUGGGCUAUUGUGACUAGAGCUGCUGUGAACAUGGGGUUCCAAUACCUGCAUGAUGCCCUACUUUCAGGUCUUUUGUGUGCAUACCCAGGAAUGGGAUUGCUGGGUCAUAUGGUAAUUCUAUGUUUAAUUUUUUGAAGAACUGCCAUACCUAAUUGUCUUUAUCCCUUCUCAGUAAAGUGCUUUGUUUUAAUGUAAAUUCCUACCUUUCCUCAGCUCUCACCUCCCUGGUGACAAUUCUGUGGCCACCUCCACUGCGGAGACUCUCACCUGAGGACUUCUAUGUCCAAAGCUCCAGUUGUGUUGAACCGAGCCAGUUUGUCCUUCCCGGCUUCCGAAAGCUCUGACACACACCUCUCCGUGUCACUAGAUGGCGCCGGAGAGUAGUUUGGGUUUUUUCCUUGGGGAGAAAGACCUCUUUUGUCUCCUUCUCCUGGGGGGUAGAGAUUCCUUGUGCCAGGGUGGGGGGAUUGCUCUGCAGUGUCCCCUGCCUGGGGUCACAUUGACUAGAAAGUUGGCCACGUUUUUGAGCGUCUAAUGUCUUUAGUUGGAGAAGCCCACAUUAUCCUCCCUCAAAGGGGUAAAGUUGUUGGGAAAACACCGGCACGUUGGAAAGAACAUCGGAUGCGGUGUCAGAAAAACCUCCAUUUUAAUCCUAGGUCUGUCAAAUUUGUGUGUGACCUGGAAACAUCAUCUGGGCUCUCCAAACCUUAGUUUCCCUACCUGUAGAGUCAAAGAGUUGGAUUAGUCAGUGGUUCUCGAUUCUGGCCAUGCCUGAGGGUGCCCUGGGUAGAGAGGACAUCCACGCUGGUUGAAUCAGAAUCUCUAGGAGAAAUGUGUUUUGAAGCUCCCGGGUGGUUCUGAUGCAGUGGGUGGAGAACCCCUGGGUUACGUGGUCCCUGAAAUCCUUUUUAGCUGUAAGAGGCUCUGUCCCUUACCAGCUGGCUGACUUGGAGCAAGGAACCCUCUUGAGCCCCAGCUUUUUCAUCGUAUAAAAUGGGAAUAAUAAUGGUACCUGAUCAUUAGAGGAGACAGUAUGAGUACAACCCCAUGGCACAGUGCUCAGACUUAGCCGCUCUUACCUCUAGACGAGCUUUGCUCAAAGCACAGGUGGCAGGGGUACACAAAGGGGGUCUCUCACGAGACACCUGCUGCCCAGGGAUCCACAUCCCGAGCUCCUGAAUCCGUGGGACGAACCUGAAUCCUUGGGACUGGGCAGGUCCAGCUCUGAGGCCUUUGAAAUGUCCCCCAGUACUGUACGCGCUAGGUGCUCAACAAAUGUUUGAUUAAAUACCUCGUUUAAUUAAGGAAAGCUUCUGGAAGAAAGUGACACCAGACCUGAGUCUUGAAGGCCAACCAGGAAUUAGCAAGAGAAGGAAGGGUGGGGGGUUUCUCCCCAGGCA